rnacentral:rRNA from 1 species
GUAGGUGGCAAGCGUUGUCCGGAAUUAUUGGGGCGUUAAAGCGCGCGCAGGUGGGUUCUUUAAGUCUGAUGUGAAAGACCCCCGGGCUCAACCGGGGAGGGUCAUUGGAAACUGGGGAACUUGAGUGCAGGAGAGGAAAGUGGAAUUCCACGUGUAGCGGUGAAAUGCGUAGAUAUGUGGAGGAACACCAGUGGCGAAGGCGACUUUCUGGCCUGUAACUGACACUGAGGCGCGAAAGCGUGGGGAGCAAACAGGAUUAGAUACCCUGGUAGUCCACGCCGUAAACGAUGAGUGCUAAGUGUUGGGGGGUUUCCGCCCCUCAGUGCUGCAGCUAACGCAUUAAGCACUCCGCCUUGGGAGUACGGUCGCAAGACUG